rnacentral:tRNA from 1 species
ACCCCUAUAUAUCUCU